CCUACGGGAGACAGCAGUGGGGAAUAUUGCACAAUGGGGGAAACCCUGAUGCAGCGACGCCGCGUGAGUGAAGAAGUAUUUCGGUAUGUAAAGCUCUAUCAGCAGGAACGAGACAAGACGGUACCUGACUAAGAAGCCCCGGCUAACUACGUGCCAGCAGCCGCGGUAAUACGUAGGGGGCAAGCGUUAUCCGGAAUCACUGGGUGUAAAGGGAGCGUAGACGGCUGUGCAAGCCUGAUGUGAAAGCCUGGGGCUCAACCCCGGGACUGCAUUUGGAACUGUGCUGCUAGAGUGUCGGAGAGGCAGGCGGAAUUCCUAGUGUAGCGGUGAAAUGCGUAGAUAUUAGGAGGAACACCAGUGGCGAAGGCGGCCUGCUGGACGAUGACUGACGUUGAGGCUCGAAAGCGUGGGGAGCAAACAGGAUUAGAUACCCUUGUAGUC
rnacentral:rRNA from 1 species